rnacentral:rRNA from 1 species
CUGACACAGGGAGGUAGUGACGAGAAAUAACAAUGCCGGGCUCUUUCGAGUCUGGCAAUUGGAAUGAGAACAAUUUAAAUCCCUUAUCGAGGAUCCAUUGGAGGGCAAGUCUGGUGCCAGCAGCCGCGGUAAUUCCAGCUCCAAUAGCGUAUAUUAAUGUUGUUGCAGUUAAAAAGCUCGUAGUUGGAUUCCUGGCUUGGGGUAACCGGUCCGUCUAGCAAUAGAUGCGCACUGUGUGGCCUCGGCCAUCCUUGGGGAGAGCGGUUCUGGCAUUCAGUUGUCGGGGCCGGGAUCCCUAACGUUUACUGUGAAAAAAUCAGAGUGUUCAACGCAGGCUUACGCCUUGAAUACAUUAGCAUGGAAUAAUGAGAUAGGACCUUGGCGGUCUAUUUUGUUGGUUUGCACGCCGAGGUAAUGAUUAACAGGGACGGUUGGGGUUCUUCGUAUUCAAUUGUCAGAGGUGAAAUUCUUGGAUUUAUGGAAGACGAACUGCUGC